AAAAAGCAGAACUCCGGUCGACGCUGUUUUGCUCUGUUCUUUUCUUUUUUGCUGAUUGUACUUUAAUAAAAGACACUUUGAGUAAAGAAUCUCAAAGAUUAUUUUUCCUCUCCUCCUCCUCCUGCUGCAAGGUUUCACUCUGAAGAAUGGAAGGUCUCCACAUUAACAGCAGCUCACAGGACCAAAGCUACGAUUACAGCAGCACCACCUUCAACUACCAGAAUAACAAUGAGCACUAUGAGUAUCUCAAAAAACUUCGUCUCAUCCAAUACGUAGUGACAUGCAUAGUCCUUGCUGUCGGCCUUCCUCUGACCCUGGUGGCCAUCUAUUCUCUUUAUUCUAUGAAGCAUGUCUGCUUGAACCAGCAUCCCUCCAACCGCCAGAGCCCACCUUUACUGGAUCA